CCAUCAGACUUGAGGGAGGGGAGAGGGGAGGAGAGAAGGAAGGGAGGAGGGUGAAGUGAAAAAUGAAACUAUUUAGCUGGGCUGACCCCAGGGCACAGUGGGCACAAGAUAACUAUCUCUAUCUCUCUCGUGCCAGGAAUGAAACAGAAGCAAUGGAUAAAAAGUACCGAUAGCAUGGCCAGAUUUCCCCAAGGCCUCCUUGCCCGAACAGCUUCGGCAACCCGGACCCUGACUGAAAACCAGAAGUGACACCACAGAGCUCCACCUGUGUAGUGCUCCGGAUGGCAGAUGGACCAGUAGUUACCAGCUAAAAUCCCAGAUCCCAAAGCAUAUGUGCUUUGCUCUGAAAAGCCAGACUCAAGGAUCUCACCAAAGUACUUAGAGAUUCUUUCAAGUGCACUUCUAACAUAAAUCAUUCAGUUUCAAAGACUACCACCCACUAGAGAGAAAUGUGCCUGCUAAUGGCAGACUCAUUGAUGGCUAAUAUUGAGAAAAGACACAAAAAUUUACGACAGCCAAAAGACUCAGAAUGCACAGUAACCUGGAGCCAUUUGGUACGGGGUGUUACUGUCAUGAAAAUGGUGUCCUUUUGGUGACUUGUGAUUUCCAGUCUUCUUCCAUUCAGAUGAUGAGAACAGAUACUCUCCUUUAGAACAGAGCCCCACUGAUACAGCCAAGGAAGAAGGGCCAUGUCCUCAGCAUUCAGCUAACACUCCAAAACUGUGAGUGGCCUCAGCCUACACUAACCAAUGAACAUGAGGUGGACAAAAUAGCAUGGAAAACCCACCGGGAGCCCUCGGCCCAUCUCCUGUUCUGUGAGGUUCAAGGUCAGCGAGUCCCUUUGCACGAGGUAUGACCAACCCACCAGCAGUCAAACCCCCUAAAACAACACAACCUCUUCCUUGCGGCCCUACCAACGUGUGCCAUCACCAACGUCUGUGCAAGAGCCAUCUGGCCCCUAAAUGAAGCCUGAAAGUGGUUUUGUUUGGAGAACAUACUACCUCCUGGACACUAAAUUAAAACACACAAUUAGAUUUCCAUUAAGUUACAGCAAAUUCUGCUGAAUUGAUCUAAUCGGCCUACAUUCCUAUAUGACAUCAUGCUUUAAAGGCUUGGCCUGAACAUAAAUACUUAAUGUA